AACGAACGCUGGCGGCAGGCUUAACACAUGCAAGUCGAGCGCUUCGCAAGGGGAGCGGCAGACGGGUGCGUAACACGUGGGGAUCUGCCCGAAGGUACGGAAUAACUCAGGGAAACUUGUGCUAAUACCGCAUGUGCCUGCCAGGUGAAAGAUUUAUCCCCAUCGGAUGAACCCGCGUCAGAUUAGCUAGUUGGUGUGGUAAAGGCGCACCAAGGCGACGGUCUGUAGCUGGUCUGAGAGGAUGAUCGGCCACACUGGGACUGAGACACGGCCCAGACUCCUACGGGAGGCAGCAGUGGGGAAUAUUGGACAAUGGGCGCAAGCCUGAUCCAGCCAUGCCGCGUGAGUGAUGAAGGCCUUAGGGUUGUAAAGCUCUUUCGCCGACGAAGAUAAUGACGGUAGUCGGAGAAGAAGCCCCGGCUAACUUCGUGCCAGCAGCCGCAGUAACAC
rnacentral:rRNA from 1 species